GAUCCCUCAUCUUCAUCCUAGAUUGCCACCGCCGCCGUACUCAAGGCGGUUCCCUCGCGCCGUCGACUUCGUCGCUGUUCCUUUUCUCGGCCGGCUCUCGCCACUUCAGGAAGACCGCGGAAGAGAAGACAUGAGGAAGCCAGGAAGGGUCAGUCCAUAUUUCGAAUCCUUGUAACCCCUAGCCUGACGAUUGUUUUGUUGGUCCCGGCCGCAAAAUUCAGGUCAGGUAAUAGCAAUAUGUGCUGGUUCAAAUACGGCUCACGAGGUUCUCGACUCCUCUAUGACCUUGCUGAUUUUGAAGGUACUCUCUGAACCCAUUAUCCUCAAUGCAUCCGAGACAUCAUCGCUGUAGCUUUUUUUUUUUUUUUUUUUGCGAUGAACUGUUCACAUUAGAUGAUCGUGCUCUUCCUCUCCAUCCUAAGUUAUUUGAUAUCUCUUCUCAAAAGCACUUGUGUUAUCGGCACUUCUAUGGUUUAUUGUUGAUCUAUUGAACAUAUAUGUUGGCCUAAUAAUAUUCAGGGAGGAUGGUAUUGCUAAUUUCUUGUACUGAUGCGUGAUGGACAUCUCGAGGGGAUUUUGUCGGAACACUUGGUGCACUGCUUUUGUAUUUUCAGAUUCCUUGAAUUUUUUACAUCAGUCCUGGAUGGUGAGCUUACAGCUAUUUGCCUGUUAGAAUAACCCAGGUAAUAAGGUUAAUUUGGAUCAUUGGGAAUUUUAUGUACUCCAAUCUGUCCCAUAAAACGUGUCUGAGAUUUGUCAAAAUUUAGAUGCAUCUACACACUAAAUAGCAUAUAGAUGCAUUCAAAUUUUGACAAACUUCCGACAUGCUUCAUGGGACGGAGGUAGUAGCUUUUAUUUUUUAUGUGCAAAUUUAUGAACAGAUUAUGCGUGCCCAUCUUUUUUUUUUUGUUAAAUUCCCCUUCAAGCAUACCCUUUGAUACUUUAGCUAGCUCUAUGUGAGAAAUGUAAGUUCAGAUUGCUCAAUUGGCUACUUGAUCAAAUGCUCAUGUACACUAAAAUAUUUAUCUGACAUGCAGUUUUGUCCUGAUGCAUUUCAUGCGUCUGUACACUGAAUAUUCUUGUUAUAUUUUGCAACUAGGGUAUGGACAACAACGUAGAGACCAUUAGUUAAUUAGACUGCUCAAGCCAUUCGAUGAGCUCGCUCCUGACAUCAAGGUUAUGUUCACUUGGAACGCCAAACUUCAUUUAUCUGUAUUCUGAUGUUGUUGGCCACACCAAUACUUUGAUGCUACAUUUUGCAGGAUUUAGCUUCUUGGCAUUGUAAAAUUUCAAUGGAGCUGGCAGGACCCUGAUUUUUUUUUUACUUUUCACGAAAAUCUGGCAACCAUCCUUGCCUCUUGAAGUUAUUUUAAAUCAAUGCUGCCAAGUUAACCACUACUGCAACUUGCUUUCUGUAAAUCUUGAUUAUUAGUUUAUCAGGCAGUAACCAUCAGCAACAAUGAACUAUAGCAGGUGGAACAAGAAAUUCAUACUUGUGAGCAUUUCUAUAUUAGUUUGGAGAUUUAUUUUAGUUCGCUACACUCAAUGCCAUGUGACGUUCAAUAGAGCAUUCCGAAAUUCAGUUUUGUAUGUAUGAUUGUUCGGUUAGGCUAGCAAACUUCAUAUUUGGCAAUUGAUUUGUCAGUUUUAUACUUCAAAUCAUAUGUCAUUAUAAAUUAAUCCUUGCAUUCCCUGGUACUUGAUUAACUGAAAUAUAUAAUCGAAUUUCCAGCUUUAGAGUUUGAAAUAAGACCCAUAGCUGUUCACUUUUAGGAGUUUAAUCAUAUUUAUUUCCUUUUCAUUUUUUCUGUAUAAGUGAAAGUUGAUUUUGGUUCUAAAAUGCAUCUCUUACAGUAUAUAAAGGGACUUUUUGUUCUCUGAGUAAUGAUUACUAAAACUCGGCUGCCAAACAAAUUAUUUGCCUAUGCCUAAUAAGGACUAAUACUAUUGUCUCUAGCUUUGUAGGAAUAAGUAGCUGCUGUUUUAUCUCUAGGGAAUGGACUUCUUUGAGUAGCGAGUAUUUUUUUUUUUUUUGAGGUAAGUAGCGAGUAUUAAAAGUUCUGUAUCAAACAUGUUACUUUUGUAUGCCUAUUCAUGAGCGCUAGGGUUACUGUCUCUAGCUUUGUAGGAACUAGGAAAAAUAUAUAGUGGGAGUUUAGGUAUAGCAGAUAAUUAGCUGGUGUUUCAUUCCUCUUGAAUGAAAUACCUUGAAGAAAAGAUAACAUGUUUGAUCAACCUACUGAAAUAUCCUUGAUGAUACAUUAAACCAGUUAUGACGUUAAAAUUUAUUUGAUUAUCACUGAAUUAUUUUUAGGGUAACAACUUAGAAUUUUCAUGCAUCAUUUUUACAUUUUUCAUCUAUUCAUUUCAGCUAUAAUAAUGAUAAUAUUACAUGCACUACAUUGAAUCAUGUCACAGGAAACUAACAAUACGCAGAUCAACAUGAUCUUGUCUCGUGUUAUUGAAGCCGGGUAUGGUUUAUGAGUAUGAAAUUGUGUUUCAUGAAAUUACUUACUGGUUUUAUCAGAUUAUUUUUUCCUAAUUACUUAUGCUGUUUUAAUUCUUAUUCUUCGUCCUUCUUUCUUGCUCAGGAAGUCCAUGCUUUUGUCAUGGGGUAAGCAUCUUAUCUCUUGCAGGCAAAUGGCAACAGAAAUAAUGCCGACGUCACCAAAGGAGUGCACUAAGCAGAAGAUAGUAAAAGCUUCUUUACAAAUCUUAGCUUGCUACUAUGCUUCACAUUAGAUUAUUUUUCUACCAGAAUAUUUCUGGCAAUAGUUUUGUGAAUUGCUCCCAAGGUACUUUACCGAAUAUUCAUCACGUGGAGUUUAUUUGAGGCAUUGCUAUGUCAAACACUUAUUUUCCUAGAUAUUUCUAACUGUCCAAA